AUAUGUCGAACGCUGAAUCCCUGGAGACAGGGAACGGGGGAACCAAUUUAUGGGGGUGAAUCCUGUAGACCUCUACAGGUAGGGUUAGCUUUCGACCCGAACCCGGCAGCUAACCUCGUAAGCGUGGAAAGCAGGUUAA
rnacentral:sRNA from 2 species